UAGUCUUAUCUUUGUGUGGCUUGGGUAUCAAAGUGAUUGUAGCCUCAUAGAAAGAGUUUGGCAAUAUCCCAUCUGCUUCUAUUGUGCGGAACAGUUUGAGGAGUACUGGUAUCAGCUCUUGUUUGAAUUUCUGGUAGAAUUCUGUAGUGAAGCCAUCUGGUCCUGGGCUUUUUUUGGUUGGGAGGCUUUUGAUGACUGCUUCUAUUUCAUUAGGGUUUAUGGGUCGAUUUAACCUGAUCUUGUUUAUCUGAUUUUGGUUUAAUUUUGGUAAGUGAUAUUUAUCCAGGAAACUGUCCAUUUCCAUUAGAUUUUCAAAUUUUGUGGAGUACAGGUUUUCAAAGUAUGACCAGAAGAUUCUAUGGAUUUCUGCAGUGUCCGUUGUUAUAUCCCCCUUUUUGUUUCUGAUUUUGUUAAUUAGCAUGCUCUCUCUGCCUUUUGGUUAGUUUGGCUAGAGGUUUGUCUACUUUGUUGAUCUACUCAAAGAACAAACAUUUGGUUCAUUGUUUCUAUGUAAUGUUUUCCUAGUUGCUACUUUAUUGAUUUCAGCUCUCAGGUUGGUUAUUUCCUGGCAUCUACUCCUCCUUGGUGAGUUUGCUUCUUUUUGCUCUAAUGCUCUCAGGUGUUCUGUCAAUUCUCUAAUGUGACUUUUCUCCAGUUUCUUCAUGUUGGCACUUAGUGCUAUGAACUUACCUCUUAGCACUGCCUUCAGAGUGUCCCAUAAGUUUGGCUAUGCUGUGUCUGCAUUCUCAUUAAAUUCUAGGAAGUCUUUACUUUGUUUAUUUAUUUCUUCCUUAAUCCAGGAAUGGUGCAAUUGGGUGUUAUUCAUUUUCCAAGAAUAUGUAGGUUUUCUGCCAUUUGUAUUGUUGUUGAAUUCUAGCUUUAAUGCAUGGUGAUCUGAUAAGAUACAGGGGGUUAUUUUAAUCCUUUUUAACUAUGGAGGUUCGCUUUGUUGCCUACUAUGUCAAUUUUAGAGAAGGUGCCAUGUGGCGCUGAGAAGAAGGUAUAUUCUUUUGAAUUUGGAUGGAAUGCUCUAUAGAUAUCCGUUAACCCCAGUUGGGUCAUAACUUCUUUCAGAUCCUUUGAUUCUUUGUUAAGUGUUUGUCUGGUGGUCUUGUGUAGUGGUGUAAGGGGGGGUGUUGAAGUCUGCUACUAUAAGUGUGUGUGGUUUUAUGUGUGGUUUGAGCUUUAGUAAUGUUUCUUUCACAAAUGUGGGUGCCUUUGUAUUUGGGGCAUAGAUGUUCAGGAUUGAGACUUCUUCUUGAUGGACUUUUCCUGUGAUGAGUAUGAAAUGCCAUUCUUCAUCUCUUUCGAUUAAUUUUAGUUUAAAAUCCAAUUUGUUAGAUAUUAGGAUUGCUACAACAGCUUGUUUCUUGAGCCCAUUUGAUUGGAAAAUCUUUUCCCAUCCUUUUACUCUGAGGUAUCACCUGUCUUUGAAGUUCAGGUGUGUUUUUUGUAAACAGCAGAAGGAUGGAUUCUGUCUUUGUAUCUAUUCUGUUAGCCUAUAUCUUUUUAAGGGUAAGUUAAGACCAUUGACAUUUAGGGAUAUUAAUGUCCAUUGUUCGUCGGUUCUUGUUUGUUUUGGAUUUAUUGUUGGUGGUGUCAUUGUGUGUGGAUUUCGGCCUCCUAUUCCUUUUUGUGUUUGGUAAUGUUAGAUUAUCUAUUGCCUGUAUUUUUGUGAGUGUAGUUAUGUUCGUUGGGUUGGAGUUUUCCUUCCAGAACCUUCUGUAGUGCUGGAUUUGUGGAUAUGUAUUGUUCAAAUCUGUUUUUGUUAUGGAAUAUCUUGUUUUCUCCAUCUAUAGUGAUUGAAAGUUUUGCUGGGUACAGUAGUCUGGGUUGACAUCCAUGCUCCAUUAGUGCUUGUAGGAUAUCUAUCCAAGACCUUCUGGCUUUCAGAGUUUCCAUUGAGAAGUCAGGUGUGAUUCUAAUUGGUUUGCCUUUAUAUGUUACUUGGCCUUUUUCCAUUGCAGCUCAUAAUAUUUUCUCUUUAUUCUGUAGAUUUGGUGUUCUGAUUAUUAUGUGUCAGGGGGACUUCUUUUUGUGGUCCAGUCUGUUUGGUGUCCUGUAAGCUUCUUGUACUUUCAUAGGCAUAUCCUUCUGUAGGUUGGGGAAGUUUUCUUCUAUGAUUUUGUUGAAUAUGUUUUCUGUACCUUUGAGCAGUGUUUCUUCACCUUCUUCUAUACCUAUUAUUCUUAGGUUUGGUCUUUUGAUGGUGUCCCAUAUUUCCUGGAUAUUUUGUGUUAGGGAUUUGUUGGACUUGAGGUUUUCUUUGGUUGUGAAUGUAUAUCCUCUAGUGAGUCUUCAUUAGCUGAGAUUCUCUCUUCUGUCUCUUGGAUUCUAUUAGUUAUAUUCACGUCUUUAGUUCCUGAUCAUUUAUCCCGUCUUUCCAUUUCAAGCAUCGCCUCAUUCUGUGUUUUCUUUAUUGUGUCUAAUUCAGCUUUCAUACUUUCAACUGUUUCAAGAGCUUCCUUCACUUGUUUGGUUGUUUUUUCUUGGGUUUCUUUAGAUUCUUUAAGAGAUUUGUUUAUUUCUUGAAUUUUUGGUUUGUCUUUCCCUCCAUUUUGUGUAGUUUUUUGCUUACUUUUUCUUCUAUUUCUUUAAGGGAUUUUCUUGUUUCCUCUUUAAAGGUCUCUAUCAUCUUGCUGAGAUAAUUUUUGAGGUUCAUCUCUUCUUCCUGCACUGUGUUGGGCUUUUCAGAUCUUGCUGGAGUGGAGUCCCUAGAUUCUGGUGGUGUCAUAUUGGUCUUUCUGUUGUUGAGCGAGUUCUUAUUCUGUCUUCUUCCCAUAUCUUUUUCCAAUGAGUGCAGUUGAGGUCUCUCUAUCUCUUUUUACCCAGUAGUGUGUGUGGGGCAGGGAUUCAAUGUCCUCACCACUAAUCAAAAAACAAAAUAAAAAACAAAAAAAUUUACUCCACAGACACACUGAAGGACAAUCUGAUGGAGACAAUUCCCUAUUUGAGGUUUACUCUUCCCAGAUGACUCCAGUUUGUGUUAAGUUUAUUAAGAAUGAAUCCUUGGUCCACACUCUGCCCUCUGUCCUGCAGCGGCCACCCAAGCCUCAGCUUCUCAAUCAUCAUCUGGAAGGAAACCAUUCUGAGCAACAUCAUUAAAAACAGCUCUGAUAAAGCACGGUCACUACUAUGUAUCAUAAAGCAGAUCCACAUAUGGGUGAGUAUAUAUUGGGUUACCUCGCUCAGAAUGGUAUCUUCAUCUCUUUUAAAAUUUUGAAGACUUGUAAUUAGGAAAAAACUUUAAGGAAAAAUAAUUUAGCUUGAGAUUGAUUUUAACACUCUUGGGUUUAAAUAGAACUAAG
ensembl:lncRNA